AGAGUUUGAUCCUGGCUCAGAAUGAACGCUGGCGGCGUGCUUAACACAUGCAAGUCGCACGAGAAAGGUUCCUUCGGGGGCUGAGUAAAGUGGCGAACGGGUGAGUAACGCGUGGGUAACCUACCCUCGAGUGUGGAAUAACUCGGCGAAAGGUGAGUUAAUACCGCAUAACAUCAUCGGGGCUUCGGCUCUGGUGACCAAAGGUGGCGCAGUUCGACUGCUACCGCUUGAGGAGGGGCCCGCGUCCCAUUAGCUUGUUGGUGGGGUAAUGGCCUACCAAGGCUUCGAUGGGUAGCCGGCCUGAGAGGGUGUCCGGCCACACUGGAACUGAGACACGGUCCAGACUCCUACGGGAGGCAGCAGUGGGGAAUAUUGGGCAAUGGGCGCAAGCCUGACCCAGCGACGCCGCGUGGGUGAUGAAGGCCCUUGGGUCGUAAAACCCUGUCAUGUGGGACGAAUGGCCCGAGUCCUAAUAGGGCUCGGGUUUGACGGUACCACAGGAGGAAGCCCCGGCUAACUCCGUGCCAGCAGCCGCGGUAACACGGAGGGGGCAAGCGUUAUUCGGAAUUAUUGGGCGUAAAGGGCAGGUAGGCGGCUCCGUAUGUCCUCUGUGAAAGCCCUCGGCUCAACCGAGGAAUUGCAGGGGAAACUGCAGAGCUUGAGUCCGGGAGAGGGUAGUGGAAUUCCCAGUGUAGCGGUGAAAUGCGUAGAUAUUGGGAGGAACACCAGUGGCGAAGGCGGCUGCCUGGACCGGUACUGACGCUAAACUGCGAAAGCCAGGGGAGCAAACGGGAUUAGAUACCCCGGUAGUCCUGGCUGUAAACGAUGAGCACUUGGUGUGG
rnacentral:rRNA from 1 species